rnacentral:rRNA from 1 species
CAUUGUUGGUUUCUCCCUUCUGACGAACCAUGAUGCCAUUUAUUUGGUGUUGUGGGGAAUCAGGACUGUUACUUUGAAAAAAUUAGAGUGUUUAAAGCAGGCUCACGCUUGAAUACAUUAGCAUGGAAUAAUGAAAUAGGACGUUUGAUUCUAUUUUGUUGGUUUCUAGGAUCGACGUAAUGAUUAAUAGGGAUAGUUGGGGGCAUUAGUAUUCAAUUGUCAGAGGUGAAAUUCUUGGAUUUAUUGAAGACUAACUACUGCGAAAGCAUUUGCCAAGGAUGUUUUCAUUAAUCAAGAACGAAAGUUAGGGGAUCGAAGACGAUCAGAUACCGUCGUAGUCUUAACCAUAAACUAUGCCGACUAGGGAUCGGAUGAUGUUAAUUUUUUAAUGACUCAUUCG